CUACAUGCACGUGCACACAAGUGAGCGAUCACUAAUAAAUCACAGAUGCAUAAACAGUGUUUUAGCUUCAGCGCCGGGGUUGAAGUCCGUGUUGUCAAACUUUCAAUCAUACCUGUAGCCAGUUCUUUGAAUCUCUCAAAUGGGUUGAGAUAGCGCUGUGCGUGGUGACUUUCUUUCACUGCAUCCGCCUGCACGGAGCUAGAUGCGCAAAGCUGUGUGAAGAUUCAGUCCUGUAACGUGUUGCGCUAUGGAAUUAAUGUUUUCUUUGAAGAAUAUCCUGGCUGUUUUUUUUUUAUGUGGUAGAAAUCUGCUGCAAGGACUGAGCGGUGCCAUCGAAGGACUGGAUGCCACUGGAGGUGCCUAGAAAGGACGUUCUCAAUCUGAAGGCCACCUGUUUCCUUGGAGGGUGGAGCAAAGGGGUGUAACCCAGCUGAUACCUCGGUGCUCUGAUGACACCAACAGAAGUCACUCAGCCCCCGUAAACAGAGAAACCACACAGUUUAUCCCUGUGGAAAGAAAAUUACCACCAUGAAGCAGCCAAAAAGACGACAACAAAUUUACAGUGGGGACAGACCCUUUAGCUGUGAUCAGUGUGGGAAGUCUUUUAAUCAAAUUAGUCAUCAAAUUAGUCACUUAAAAACACAUCAGCUCAUCCAUGCUGGAGUUAGACCAUUCGAGAAAGUCUCGCACUGUGUCAAGCGAAUCCCCUACGCGACCACAUAGUUCGCUCUAACAGUUCUUUAUUCUGUUGCUUGUUCGCACAAUACUCGGUUGCUUUUCAGCUGCAACCCCACACACAACAACCACCUCAGGUCCCGACACGUCUUAUGCAGGGGAGGCGUGAUGAACUGAUGGAGCUGCAGUCUGUCCGCCUCCCCUGCAGCUGCGCCACAAACCACUCCCCGCUGCACAGACCCUAUCUGGGAAACUGGUUCCAGAGCCUGAGCAUUGUUUUGAAGCAAGCUACAUUGUAUCUAAUCAGUAUCUCUGAUUCUGUUCCGAUGUCCCGAUUGUAAUCAAACUGCAACAAAAACCAUUAAACCCGUCUGUCAGCUGAGUUGUUGUGGCAUGAAUGUUCAUCAUGAAUUGUUGAAAAAUUGUAACAACAAAGUUAAGUAUUUUUGUAAUGGCUGAACGCAGUUUUUGCACAAUUGAAAAUGAGUGGGAGAUGUAACAAAGGUGAAUCUUUAUUUAGGCUGUUGUCUGACUGCAGAAUUACAAAGUCCAUGAAAUGAGGAGCCAAAUGCAGAAUGAUAAAGUUCAUGAGAUUAAAAAGCAAAUUAAUUCCACUGUCCUUCAUAAACAGAAGACACCACCAUUUAAACACAGAAAGCCAACAAAACAGGUGCAGAUGAUCAAUGACAAUGAGAGAGGAGAGGGACGUAAAACUAAACAUGAAACAUGUUUCUGACAGUUGACCGCCAAAAUAAAAUGGGACACAUCCGGUGCGAAUAUCAAACUAAAGAGGGAAACAGACACAGGGAUAAACCCCGCGGAAUAAAGACUCCAAACAUGCUCAAGAACAAAAGAAGAGUAUUAAACGAUACUGUAAACACAGUGUACAAAUGUUUGGACAAAUUUACUUGUAAUCAGAAGGUUUUUCAGAGCUGAUUGCGUUUUUCUUCCCUAGUGCUCUUUUGAAAUCUCUCUGUGAUGAUUUUUAAUUUGAGAUCGGAUAACUCAGGCUUUCUGCUCCCUACUCCUCAGGCUGACUCUCUUCUAGGCUCUCCUGACUGUUCCCUUUACAUGCUGAUGAUGUGUCUUGUAAAUCUGGAUCCCAUUCCAGCAGGACGCUCCUCUUCUUCAGACAGUACCUCAGCUGCUCUCUCUCCUGACAGUCAGCUGUCCACCUCUGCAUGGCCAGUCGAGCCAGCGCCGGCA